AUGAUUGAUGUGAACCAGGCCUUCAAAGACUUUUGCUUGUGGAAGCCAACCUGUACCAGCUGGAACUUUUCCUUGACUAGUGCUCUUUUGAUUCUCUUUAAAUUUCACAGAAGACUUUUCCUUGUGAAAGCCAACCGGCCUAUAUAUGAAAACCAACUGAAUACUCCUGUUUUCUGUAUCAACAAAAGUAUUUCCUUGUGGAAACUUUCCUUUGGGAACCAGCUAGUAUAUGGAAGCCAACUUGUAUAUGGAACUUUUCCUUUGGGAACCAGCUAUAUUGCUAAGUGGGACUAUGAUGCUCAUAUUGCUUUUAUUGAGGUGUGUGAAAGAGAAAUUAGGAAAGGAAAUAGACCGAACUCUCAUUUGAAUAAAGAUGAAUGGAAAAAUCUGGUUGAUGCGUUCUAUAGUAAGACGGAAAGAAACUAUAAUAGACAACAAUUGAAAAAUAAAUGGGAUAACAUGAAAUAGGACUGAGCUUUUUUUAAGCAGUUGAUGAGAGAGAAUACAGGUUUAGGUUGGGAUGCCACAAAAGAUACAAUCAUUGCAGAUAACGAUUGGUGGAAGCAAAAGAUUAAGAUGGAUCAUUGAUAUAGGAGGUUUAGGAAUAUGGAUCUUUCUCUCAUACGUUAUCGUUAUGAUGCAUUAUUUUCGGAUAUUGUUGCUACCGGGGAAAGAGCACACGCCGCCAAUGAAGAACAAAUUUCUGAGACUGAAGUACAUUUGGACAAAGAAAAAUUAAAUGAUUUUGACAAAGAACACUUCAUUAAUCUCAAUAAUGAAGAAAGUCAUGACCCAAAUGAUAUGAAUUCUCCUAUGUUUUUCAAACCAUCAUUAAAACGAGAAUUUUCAACUGAUGAUAUAGGAACUAGCAAUCGAGUAAAAAAGAGUAAGACAAAAUCUGCUAGAGAGGAACUACACUCUUUAGUUGAGUUAAUGCCAAGCAAAAGUGCUGAUACAUCUCAUGCGGUAGAGGAUCCCACCAUUGAUAAGUGUAUGGAAUUUUUGGAAAGUUGGCCCGAAAUUGAUAUCCCGUCUGAAACCUACAACUAUGGUAAAUUUGUUUCUAAAGAGAGACGUUCGUCAAAUAUUUUUUAAGAUGACUAGUGAUGAAGUUCGGAAGUUUUGGUUGGCAUAUAACUAUCAGUUAUACCUCCUUAAGAAAGAGUGAAGGAUGUAUCCGGUUGAUUUUUGUAUUUUUGUUGUUUGUUCUUUGUUAUUAUGAAUGUACGCGUGAACUUAAUACGCUAUGGUUGUAUGAUUAAAACCUUUUUAAAAUUGAGUUUACUUUAUUU